rnacentral:rRNA from 1 species
GACGAACGCUGGCGGCGUGCUUAACACAUGCAAGUCGAACGGAAAGGCCCUGCUUUUGUGGGGUGCUCGAGUGGCGAACGGGUGAGUAACACGUGAGUAACCUGCCCUUGACUUUGGGAUAACUUCAGGAAACUGGGGCUCAUACCGGAUAGGAGCUCCUGCUGCAUGGUGGGGGUUGGAAAGUUUCGGCGGUUGGGGAUGGACUCGCGGCUUAUCAGCUUGUUGGUGGGGUAGUGGCUUACCAAGGCUUUGACGGAUAGCCGGCCUGAGAGGGUGACCGGCCACAAUGGGACUGAGAGACGGCCCAGAAUCCUACGGGAGGCAGCAGUGGGGAAUAUGGCACAAUGGGCGGAAGCCUGAUGCAGCAACGCCGCGUGCGGGAUGACGGCCUUCGGGUUGUAAACCGCUUUCGCCUGUGACGAAGAGUGAGUGACGGUAAUGGGUAAAGAAGCACCGGCUAACUACGUG